GCCAGGCAUGGUGGUGCAUGCCUGUAGUCCCAGCUACUCGAGAGGCUGAAGCAGGAGGAUUGCUUGAGCCCAGGAGUUCGAUGUUGCAGUGAGCUCUAAUUGCACCACUGCACUCCAGCCUGGGCAACAGAGCAAGAACUUGUCUUUA
rnacentral:SRP_RNA from 1 species